rnacentral:rRNA from 1 species
GCUUGCUACCUGACCUAGCGGCGGACGGGUGAGUAAUGCUUAGGAAUCUGCCUAUUAGUGGGGGACAACAUUCCGAAAGGAAUGCUAAUACCGCAUACGCCCUACGGGGGAAAGCAGGGGAUCUUCGGACCUUGCGCUAAUAGAUGAGCCUAAGUCAGAUUAGCUAGUUGGUGGGGUAAAGGCCUACCAAGGCGACGAUCUGUAGCGGGUCUGAGAGGAUGAUCCGCCACACUGGGACUGAGACACGGCCCAGACUCCUACGGGAGGCAGCAGUGGGGAAUAUUGGACAAUGGGCGAAAGCCUGAUCCAGCCAUGCCGCGUGUGUGAAGAAGGCCUUUUGGUUGUAAAGCACUUUAAGCGAGGAGGAGGCUACUGAGAUUAAUACUCUUGGAUAGUGGACGUUACUCGCAGAAUAAGCACCGGCUAACUCUGUGCCAGCAGCCGCGGUAAUACAGAGGGUGCGAGCGUUAAUCGGAUUUACUGGGCGUAAAGCGUGCGUAGGCGGCUUUUUAAGUCGGAUGUGAAAUCCCUGAGCUUAACUUAGGAAUUGCAUUCGAUACUGGGAAGCUAGAGUAUGGGAGAGGAUGGUAGAAUUCCAGGUGUAGCGGUGAAAUGCGUAGAGAUCUGGAGGAAUACCGAUGGCGAAGGCAGCCAUCUGGCCUAAUACUGACGCUGAGGUACGAAAGCAUGGGGAGCAAACAGGAUUAGAUACCCUGGUAGUCCAUGCCGUAAACGAUGUCUACUAGCCGUUGGGGCCUUUGAGGCUUUAGUGGCGCAGCUAACGCGAUAAGUAGACCGCCUGGGGAGUACGGUCGCAAGACUAAAACUCAAAUGAAUUGACGGGGGCCCGCACAAGCGGUGGAGCAUGUGGUUUAAUUCGAUGCAACGCGAAGAACCUUACCUGGUCUUGACAUAGUAAGAACUUUCCAGAGAUGGAUUGGUGCCUUCGGGAACUUACAUACAGGUGCUGCAUGGCUGUCGUCAGCUCGUGUCGUGAGAUGUUGGGUUAAGUCCCGCAACGAGCGCAACCCUUUUCCUUAUUUGCCAGCGGGUUAAGCCGGGAACUUUAAGGAUACUGCCAGUGACAAACUGGAGGAAGGCGGGGACGACGUCAAGUCAUCAUGGCCCUUACGACCAGGGCUACACACGUGCUACAAUGGUCGGUACAAAGGGUUGCUACCUAGCGAUAGGAUGCUAAUCUCAAAAAGCCGAUCGUAGUCCGGAUUGGAGUCUGCAACUCG